GGGAGAGGGGGGCUGUGGCUGCCUGAGACCUCCAGGGCAGCGCACAUUACGGGCGGGAAAGGGAAGUCAAGGCAGGAACCAGAACAUCCAGGGAGAAUGCAGGUCUGACAUGAGCCAAGGCCUUGGCAGUAGAGGAACUUUCACCAGGUCGUGGAAAAGACCAAGCCACUAGCCCCAAAGAGCCGGACUUCUCGCCAAGCGCCGGAGUCCCUGAACCAGGAUAUGUGGGCACUGCUCCCUGCAAGGUGUCGAUAAUGCAGGAAUAUCACGAAGUCACCAGGAUAGCAGGUUUUUCAGCAACAUUUAACUAUUUACUGAAAUACCUCUAAUGCUGACCCUAGUAAAAACAACUUAAUUUCAAUUCAGGAAAUUUCAUUAAGAAUACAUGCUAAUAAAUGGUACCUCUGUAACUGCAAGAAUGUGAAGGAAGAAAAAACGUACGUGAAUCUGAGGUCUCACAUUUUUCAUUUGUAGUAGGUGCUAUCCAUGGUGUGGAGAAAUUUUUAUAGAAGAACAGCACCCAGGCUAGAGAAUGAGACCUGCUUGAGACAUAUCACUUCUUUUUCAUGUAUCUUCUGCCACAUAUUUUCAUCCAAAUGUUUAUUUGUUUCUAAGACAGCUAAAGAAAGGAGUCUAUUUUAAAGAAAUUUAGACAUACAUUAAACUUUCCUUGUUUAACACAUUCAGUCAACUAAAACUAUGAGAGGUCAUGUUUGGGGAGAAGACAUUUGUUUAUACUUAAUAUCACUUCCUAAAACACAAAAACCCCUUUCUAAGGUUUCCUAGACUUUAAAAGAUAGGAGUGGUAUACUGUAUUGAUUUCAGUUAGGAAAAAGGAAGGCAAUUUGAAUAGGGGCCAGUGGAAUACAAAUAUGUCAAUAUUCUCUUGAAUAUAGUGUAAAGUAACUGAGAUUACCUGGUUUUAAAUAAAGAGCAUAUGAAAAAUGGAAAACUUUUCCUCUUAGAUCAAAAACAAGACUAAAGUGCCCACUCUCACCACUUUCAUUCAAUAUAGUAUUGUAAGUUUUAGCCAGAGCAUUUAAGCAAGAAAAAGAAGUAAAAGGAUUCAAAUUGGAAAGGAAGAAAUAAAAUUGUCUCUGUUUGCAUGUGGCAUGAUCUUACAUAUAGAAAACCCCAAAGACUACAUCAAAAAACUUUUAGAACUAAUACAUGAAUUCAAUAAAGUUAUAGAAUAUAAACCAACAUACAAAAAAUCAGUAGCAUUUCUAUACACUAACAAAAAAUAAUCUGAGAAAGAAAUGAAGAAAUCAAUCCCAUUUAUAAUAGCAACCAAAAAAUAAAAUAUUUAGGAAUAAACUUAAUCAAGGAGGUGAAAGAUGUACAGUGAAAACUAUAAAACAUUGAUGAAAGAAAUUGAAGACACAAAUAAAUUGAAAUAUAUCCUGUGUUCAUGGAUUGGAAGAAUUGAUAUUUGUUAAAAUGUCCAUAUGACCCCAAAUGAUUGACAGAUUCAAUGCAAUCCCUAUCAAAAUUCCAAUGAUAUUUUUCAAAGAAAUAGAAAAAAAAAUUCUAAAAUUCGUAUGGAACCACAAAAGAGCCUGAAUAGCUAAAGUAAUCUUGAGCAGAAACAACAAAGCUAGAGGCAUCACACUACCUGAUUUCAAAGUAUGUUGCUAAGCUUAAGUAAUCAAAACAGUAUAGUACUGGCAUAAAAACAGACACAUAGACCAAUAGAACAGAAUGGAGAGCCUAUAUGUAAAUCCAUGCAUUUACAGUCAAUUGAUCUUUCACAAAGGUGCCAAGAACACACAAUGGGGAAAGGAUAGUCUCUUCAAUAAAUUAUGUUGGGACAACUGUAUAUCCACCCAUAGAAAAAUGAAAUUGGACCUGUAUCUCACGAUAUAUACAAACAUCAACUCAAAAUGGAUUAAAGAAUUAAAUGUAAGACCUGAAACUGUAAAACUACUAGAAGAACAAAUAGUGUGAAAGUUCCUUGACAUUGGUCUGGAGAAUGAUUUUUUUGGAUUUGACCAUAACACUCAGGCAGGAAAGCAAAAACAGGCAAAUGGGAUUGCAUCAAACUUAAAAAGCUUUCCACAGCAAAGGAAACAAUCAACAGAGUCAACAGAAAAUAUCGGCAAACCAUACCUCUGAUAAAGGGUUAAUAUCCAAAUUAUAUACGAAACUCAAUUCAGUAGCAAGAAAACAGCCUAUUUUUUUAAUGGUCAGAGGACCUGAAUAGACAUUUCUCAAAAGAAGACAUAUAAAUGGUCAACAUGUGUAUGAAAAAAAGCUCAACAUCAUUAAUCAUCAGAGAAAAUGCAAAUUAAAGCCACAAGGAGAUACCACCUCACACCUGUUAGAAUGGUUACUAUAAAAAAGAGAAAAAAUAAGUUUUGGAGAGGAUGUGAAGAAACGAGAACCCUUGUCCAUUAUUGGUGGGAAAUUAAAUUAGUACAGCUAUUAUGGGAAACAGUAUGGAGUCUCUUCAAAAAACUAAAGAAAUAGAACUACCCUAUGAUCCAGCAAUUCCACUUCUAGAUAUAUAUUCAAAGGAAAUAAAAUCAGUAUGUCAAAGAGAUAAUUGCACUCCCAUGUUCAUUGUUGCAUUAUUUACAACAGCCAAGAUAUGGAAUCAAUCUAAGUGUCCAUCAAUGGAUCAAUGGAUAAAGGAAUAACACACACACACACACACACACACACACACACACACGAAUACUACAAAGCCUUAAAAAAGAAGAAAAUCCUGUCAUUUGUGACAACAUGGGUGAAUGUAGAGAACAUUAUGUUAAAUGACAUAAGCAAAGCACCAAAAGACAGUACUACAUGAUCUCACAUACAUGGGGAAUCUAAAAAAGUUGAACACAUAGAACAGAGAGUAAAAUGGUAAUUGCUAGGGGCUGGAGGUAGGGGUGGGGAAAUGUUGGUUAAAGGGUAGAGUUUCAGUUAGAAAGGGUGACUAAGUUACAGAGAUCUAUUGUUUAUCAUGAUGAAUACAG
rnacentral:lncRNA from 1 species